rnacentral:rRNA from 1 species
AUUGAACGCUGGCGGCAUGCCUUACACAUGCAAGUCGAACGGUAACAGGUCUUCGGAUGCUGACGAGUGGCGAACGGGUGAGUAAUACAUCGGAACGUGCCCGAUCGUGGGGGAUAACGGAGCGAAAGCUUUGCUAAUACCGCAUACGAUCUACGGAUGAAAGCAGGGGACCGCAAGGCCUUGCGCGGACGGAGCGGCCGAUGGCAGAUUAGGUAGUUGGUGGGAUAAAAGCUUACCAAGCCGACGAUCUGUAGCUGGUCUGAGAGGACGACCAGCCACACUGGGACUGAGACACGGCCCAGACUCCUACGGGAGGCAGCAGUGGGGAAUUUUGGACAAUGGGCGAAAGCCUGAUCCAGCCAUGCCGCGUGCAGGAUGAAGGCCUUCGGGUUGUAAACUGCUUUUGUACGGAACGAAAAGGUUCUUUCUAAUAAAGAGGACUGAUGACGGUACCGUAAGAAUAAGCACCGGCUAACUACGUGCCAGCAGCCGCCGUAAGAC